rnacentral:rRNA from 1 species
UACGUAGGUGGCGAGCGUUACUCGGAAUCACUAGGCGUAAAGCGCGUGUAGGCGGUAUUUUAAGUCUGUUGUGAAAUCUUAUGGCUCAACCAUAAAAUGUCGACAGAUACUGAAGUACUAGAGUGAGGCAGGGGAAACUGGAAUUCCAGGUGUAGCGGUGGAAUGCGUAGAUAUCUGGAAGAACGCCAAAGGCGAAGGCAGGUUUCUGGGCCUUUACUGACGCUGAGACGCGAAAGCUAGGGGAGCAAACAGG